AAGUCGUAACAAGGUCUCCGUUGGUGAACCAGCGGAGGGAUCAUUACGAGAGAGUUGCAAAACUCCCUAAAACCCUUUGUGAACCUCACCCGUUUCAUAGUUUAGUGUCUUCGGCGGGUUGCCCCAGGGGGGGCCUCGUGCCGUCAGGCGCCCGCCAGAGGACACAACCCAAACUCUUUUAUGGCGUCUGCCACUGUUAUCUGAUUAUAUAAAACAAAUAAAUUAAAACUUUCAACAACGGAUCUCUUGGUUCUG
rnacentral:misc_RNA from 1 species